UACGUAGGGUGCAAGCGUUGUCCGGAAUUAUUGGGCGUAAAGAGCUCGUAGGCGGUCUGUCGCGUCGGCUGUGAAAACUCGGGGCUCAACUCCGAGCUUGCAGUCGAUACGGGCAGGCUAGAGUUCGGCAGGGGAGACUGGAAUUCCUGGUGUAGCGGUGAAAUGCGCAGAUAUCAGGAGGAACACCGGUGGCGAAGGCGGGUCUCUGGGCCGAUACUGACGCUGAGGAGCAGAAGCGUGGUAGCAAACAGG
rnacentral:rRNA from 1 species